UGAAGAUCUCUUCUUGUGGAUCCAUCGAUAUGAACAAUUUUUUCACAACCAGCGAACUUUAAAGGCAGACAAGGUGAUUCAAGCAGCAUUUUACAUGAAAGGAGAAGCCCAAUUAUGGUUUUGUAAACUAGAGCAGGAGGUGCCAAGAUCAACAUGGAACACCUUUAUGGGUUAUUGCAACCUGCACUUUGGACCACCUCUACAGGGCAACCCACUAGGUGAGCUUGUAAAUUUGAAACAAACAAGUACCGUGGAAGAGUAUCAACGUCAGUUCCAAUCCUCAUUAACCAGAGCAUCCACUGUUUGACCAAACCAACAAGUAGACCUUUUCACAGCUGGAUUACUUGAGACCAUUAGAAUGGAUGUGGAACUACAAAAACCACCCAACUUGGUAACUGCAAUGAAUUUAGCAAGGGCAUAUGAGAGGCGAUAGCAGCUCGAUCGGUUCAAGACCAGCAAGCGAGGAACUACCAUAAUCACGAACAAGCAAUCAUCACCACCCUUGUCAUUGGGUUGCAUCACCAAAAACACAUCACAAUCAACACCUUCAGGAACUAG
rnacentral:misc_RNA from 1 species